rnacentral:rRNA from 1 species
ACGGAGGGUGCAAGCGUUGUCCGGAUUUAUUGGGUUUAAAGGGUGCGUAGGCGGCCUUAUAAGUCAGUGGUGAAAGCCCAUCGCUCAACGAUGGAACUGCCAUUGAUACUGUAAGGCUUGAGUACAGACGAGGUAGGCGGAAUUGAUGGUGUAGCGGUGAAAUGCAUAGAUACCAUCAAGAACACCGAUUGCGUAGGCAGCUUACUAGGCUGUAACUGACGCUGAGGCACGAAAGCGUGGGGAGCGAACAGGA